CCGCUUACUACUGCCAACCCAUUAACAGUAUUGAAUAAUUUCAUAAAUUAUGAAAACUACCAUGCUAGAACUAGUAACAAGAAAAUGAAUUUCUCCAAAGUGUAAACAUAAACCAAAACGGACAACCCAUUGGUAAUUAACGACUCUGAACCCAUUAUAGCAAAACAUCUAGAAAACCCUAUACUUAAUACCGUUAACCUUACACAAGAACUCUUCUGGAAAGAUUAAAAGGAAGAGAAGGAACUCGGCAAAUUUUAACCCCGCCUGUUUACCAAAAACAUCGCCUCUUGCUUAGUUAUAAGAGGUCCCGCCUGCCCAGUGUUUCAAUCAACGGCCGCGUGAUCUAAACGCGCGAAGGUAGCAUAAUAAUUUGUUCUUUAAAUGAGGACUUGUAUCAAUGGCAUCACGAGGGUUAUACUGUCUCCUCUCCCCAAUCAGUGAAACUAAUCUCCCUGUGAAAAAGCAGGAAUAAGAACAUAAGACGAGAAGACCCCAUGGAGCUUAAAACAAGGCAGCAAUUCAAUAACAAAAUCAGAACAAUCUUAAGCCCUGUAUGCCAGUUUUAGGUUGGGGUGACCACGGAGCAAAGCAAAGCCUCCACAACGAGAAGGGAUUAUUCCCUUACCCAAGAGACACGCCUCUAAGAAUUAUUAAAAUAACGUCUAAUGAUCCGAUUAUCGACCAAUGGACCAAGUUACCCUGGGGAUAACAGCGCAAUCCACUCUGAGAGCUCCUAUCGACGAGUGGGCUUACGACCUCGAUGUUGGAUCAG
rnacentral:rRNA from 1 species